rnacentral:rRNA from 1 species
CAGUCGCCACGGUAAUACGUAGGUCCCGAGCGUUGUCCGGAUUUAUUGGGCGUAAAGCGAGCGCAGGCGGUUAGAUAAGUCUGAAGUUAAAGGCUGUGGCUUAACCAUAGUACGCUUUGGAAACUGUUUAACUUGAGUGCAAGAGGGGAGAGUGGAAUUCCAUGUGUAGCGGUGAAAUGCGUAGAUAUAUGGAGGAACACGGGUGGCGAAAGCGGCUCUCUGGCUUGUAACUGACGCUGAGGCUCGAAAGCGUGGGGAGCAAACAGGAUUAGAUACCCCUGUAGUCCCUGUCUCUUAUACA